UCCCUAAGUGACCUCCUGCAGUGGUUCCAGCACGGCCUUGCACUGGAGCACUGAUGUGUGCAUUCCCUGCGGGCCACAGUGACCUUGCUGGGGGGACUGGGCCCACCGAGCGAUCCGGGGAAGCAAUGUAUUGUUUAUGAAAUCCUUCUCCACGGCAGAUCCUUGCAAACACCACGGGGAUCCAGGAGUCACCCAGGCAGUGGGAUCUGGCCUUGCCAGAAACAUGAGGGACAAUGCUCCAGCCAUGCCUGCGUGUGUCACACACGGGCCACACAAACCCACAGUGUUCCUGUGGUUACUUCUGUCUGCAGAGCAUCAGUGGGUCCCAGGGCUUCCCCUUCCCACUGCUUGCUGCUUCACAAAGGCUGAUGCUUCUGGAAAAAGCUCUGCCUUGUGGCCUUUAAAAUAAAUAAAUAAAGCAGCGCUGCUGUGGAUUAGUCAUCCUUAUUUUUGCAGGAAGCUGUUUGCCAGCGCUGUCCCAAUCACGCAUGUGCGUGUGAGAUGGGAACUCCAGCAGGCUGCUAGCGUGCUCUGCUCGCUGCUCCUUGGAGCUCAGCCACCCGGCCUUCCUUGAGCUGCUCCUGGCAGGUGGAAAAACCCACAGUCCAGCUCUCCAGACCUUUCCCUCCUUUUCUUUUUUCAGUGCUGGAAUCUGCAUUGGCAGGUGUGCAAAUGUGGAGACUGUAAAAGCAGCAAGUGAGGAUGGAUGAGCUGUUUUCUGGGGUCAUAUCCAACUCCAGAGAAGAAACCCUGGUGAUUUAUAAUUUUUUUCUUGUCUCUGCCUGGAUGGCCACAGUCCUGUCUAGUGAUGAAAGCCCUGUGUUUGGGGAGAACCCUUGUGAGCUCCUGUCCCUGGCAUCGUGGAUAAGAACACCACAGGGAAGAGAGUCAGAAAAUAAAUUACUAAAUGCUGCAUUUCAAAAACAUGAAGGGAGUUUUCUGCACAAAGUCAUCUCAUCAGGAAGAUUUGGAGCUCUAACCCUCAAAAAGAACUGAAAUCAAGAGGUUUAUUAAUAUAAAUCCUGUGCUUUGUGUUGUUAAGGCUCCAGAAACCAGCUCUGUGCUCCACUGUUUUCAGCCCCUGAGCCCAUAGCCUCUGUCUUGGCAACAAAUGGGCCUAAAUAUCAAACAGCACCAAUUCCUUCUUGGAGAAAACGAGCAUAAAGCAGAAUGGGUAAGCUAUAAAAUUAGGCCAAUAAUUCAGGCUGGCUUAAAAAGGAGAUAAAAGCCUAGCUGGGAAUUUGAUAUUCAGCUGUCAUAGCGUUCUUUUAAUAAAUUCUAUCAAUGAGCAAGGAAGACCUGUAAA
rnacentral:lncRNA from 1 species